UUAAUUCUGGUGCAAUAAUUUUUAAUGUGUAAAAGUUGGGAUUUUUUGGAAUAUACAGAUUUUAAAAAAUGAAAAUCAUAUCGCCUUUUACCUAUUUCAGGGGCAGUGGGCCAGAUAAAUAUCUAACCCGUUUUUUUUUCCUCAGUGUCCUGUGGAACCACUUUAAAUAAACGAUUCAUUACUCGUGUAAAUACUGGCUCAGGCAUCGGUUUCAUGCAGUGGAGCAAGAGUGGAUCUUUCCCAUUUUAGGUGACAUCUUCUUCCCAUUCUCUCCUGUAUUACCCCUGUUUUACAGUCUCUGUGUAUGGACAACUUAAGUAUAUUUUCAUGCAGGCAAAGAAGACAAGUUUAACGUGGAGGUAUAUGAAAGGUAUACGGCAAACUUGCCCAAAUUAACCCUGCAAAGCCCAAAAUCCAAUUUAAGGUGAACUUCAGGCUUCACUCAUGGGAUACAUACUCCAUGUGCCUGAAAAUUGACCAUGAUCAUUUUCCACCUUCAUGCUCCUUCCUCUUUACAGAGAACCAGCAUCUGACAGAGUGCACAGUGAUCUGGACUUCAAUUUGCCAGGAGGCCUCCAGAUACACAUGGUGAGGCUGCUGUACCUGCGAGCUUUGAAGGACUGAGAAAUCAACGUGUGAGAAAGCCCAAGAAGGCAACCCAGCUCCCCUCAAAACCACGGCGAAAAAACAGUUUUCCAAUCUCACAGGUCCAGCAGCCCAGUGAACCUCAGGUUCUCCAGCCCCAAGGCAUUCUCUACCUCCAAAAGAAGAAGAGACACUCUCGUCAGGACCCGUAUGGUUAUUUUUCUGCCAUGAAGGAAGAGUUUCACAAGUACAGACA